rnacentral:rRNA from 1 species
UGGGGAAUUUUGGACAAUGGGGGAAACCCUGAUCCAGCCAUCCCGCGUGUGCGAUGAAGGCCUUCGGGUUGUAAAGCACUUUUGGCAGGAAAGAAACGUCAUGGGUUAAUACCCCGUGAAACUGACGGUACCUGCAGAAUAAGCACCGGCUAACUACGUGCCAGCAGCCGCGGUAAUACGUAGGGUGCAAGCGUUAAUCGGAAUUACUGGGCGUAAAGCGUGCGCAGGCGGUUCGGAAAGAAAGAUGUGAAAUCCCAGAGCUCAACUUUGGAACUGCAUUUUUAACUACCGGGCUAGAGUGUGUCAGAGGGAGGUGGAAUUCCGCGUGUAGCAGUGAAAUGCGUAGAUAUGCGGAGGAACACCGAUGGCGAAGGCAGCCUCCUGGGAUAACACUGACGCUCAUGAACGAAAGCGUGGGGAGCAAACAGG